AUUCAUCUUCGGGGUAGGGUGCAAUUCCCAACCGGCAGUAAAUUAAGCCUGCGACCCGCUUCUUUGAAGUGGCUGAUUCAGUGGAAAUCUGAAGCCGACAGUAUAGUCUGGAUGGAAGAAGAUGGAG
rnacentral:ncRNA from 21 species